ACAUGCAAUUAUCCUGCUGCCCUCUGCAGACUCGCUUUCUGUUAGAGCUGAUAUCCAAGGACAUUUAUCCUCUCCUUCCUGAGCUUAGGACUGGGGCGGCUUUAAAGCUCUCUCUCGCAUGUCUCGUCUGGCAGUAGCGGUAACUGACGGAUGAGCUCCCUCCUCCUGGCGAUGGGCCAGCUAAUGAGAUUUGACGCUGGCCUCUGGUUAAAGAAGCAGGACUGAUGAAUGCACUAGCCACUCCGCUGCCCCCAUGUUGUUGGAGAUGGAAGGAAAAGGGUUACAUCGGAACCCAUCUGGAAGCAUUCUGCUCUAAAUCAAACUGCACUGGUGAGGAACAGUCGUUGCCUUGGUGAGCUUUAUUGCCAUUUGCUGAUGCAGCUUGCUCCAGCCAGCCUACCACAAGGGACAUAUAAUGGAAGCCCCGUAUUCAAGCCCCUCUUGGAAGAAAUCCAUAAAAGAGCAGAGAUGUGAACCCAGCAAUAAAUCCUCGAGGCACUUGCUCUGGAGCUGUGAAAUGAUACCAAUAACUCCUUAGCAACACAUUAAAGGGACAGUAAAGGGAAUUCACCAGGGUUUUUUUUUGAUGUAUUAGGGCUAUUUUUAAUUGAAACUCAUCAAAGACACAACAGAGCAUGUGACAGCAGCUGUUUACCCGUUGCUUUCCAUUUAUUUCAGAUUUUAUCUUGAACUCUACUUUUAUAGCUCAUUAUUUAAAACACCCUUGAAAAUUGGCCAGCCAUCCUCAGGGCCCUCAGUCGGUUCAUCAGCCUUUACAACAAGCCCCACACUUGCGCUCACCCGCACAAAGUUUCUUGCCGUGAUCUCAGCUUGUCUUCCUCAAUAAGUCGGCUAAGUUUGAAAUUUUCCAAAAGGAAACGUUGCUGGGAGAGAAGGACGCUGCCUGUCCCCUCUCCCUCUUUCCAUCCUCCCCCUGACUGGGAGGCGGGAGGAGCCAGCGACAGCCUUGCCUUAGAGAGGAGGAAACCGCGUCUUGGAAGCACAGGCCCCAGUGUUGUUUGUCAGAAGCUGCAUCCUUGCCUUCUCAGCAAUCGUGGCGAACGAUACGAUUUCAAGGGACGAUCCUUUCCUGACUCCAGGGCAGUGUCUCUCUGAUGGCGAAGGUCACCCAAAGAGGAAACCAUCGCAUCUGACACCUUCUGUGCUUCUGGCUCCCCUGAGGGGCACGCCUUUGGUUGCAGCUCAGACUCUCACCUCCAGGCUGUCCCCACGGAUGCCCAGGGGCUGCGCCACCAGGAGCAGUGUGCCCGGAGGCCACAAGCACACCGCGCUCUCGGCUCAGCUUCAACCUGGAGACAGGCUCAGAGAGGAAAGCUCUUUUUCCGUCGCCUCCCUGGGGGCCUUGAGAAGACGUCCUCCUUGUUAGUGGUUCCCAAAUUGCCCUCUGUGUGGUUCUCAAGUCGGGGGUCUUGGAACAGCCUAGAGGGGUCUGCAAGAGGAUGGGGGCACCCAGCUCGGCUGGGGGUGAGAUGAAUGAAGGUCUCCCAUGGCAGUGUUGCUAUUUUUCAAGUAAAUGAGGUUGCUAUUGGGC
ensembl:lncRNA